UGGGAACACAGUUGCACGUACAAGAGAAACCAAGUGUCAGUUUUCUAAACCAAAAGAGCUCAGGCCAGACCUGCAAGAGGCUUCGCCGGAGCCGGAGUGCCUACCAUUCUCUAUCUCCCUCUCUCACAUCAAGGUGAUCCCAUGGCAGAGGCUUUGAAUUGCUGGAAUUAUUAGAUGUUGGAUGAGUCUAAUCUGAUGUAGAUACGUACCAUUGAUACUUAUUGAGAUGAGCUACUUCUCAAGACUGUGCCGUCCUCCUCUGGAACUUUCCUCUUAAUUAUUUCCACUAGAUCACCAAGAAUCAACUGCUACCUGCCUCCAUAUUUCCUUACUAAUGACUCUAUUCUGUCUUUAACAAUUGCCUUAUUUAUUGUUUAAAAAAUGCAGCUGCAUUUUAUACCAUUGUAUCAUCUUGUUGGAUCAAUGAAAAUUUCUUAUUUACAUGUUCUCAA